rnacentral:rRNA from 1 species
AGUGAACGCUGGCGGCAGGCCUAACACAUGCAAGUCGAACGGCAGCACAGAGGAGCUUGCUCCUUGGGUGGCGAGUGGCGGACGGGUGAGGAAUACGUCGGAAUCUGCCUAUUUGUGGGGGAUAACGUAGGGAAACUUACGCUAAUACCGCAUACGACCUACGGGUGAAAGCGGAGGACCUUCGGGCUUCGCGCAGAUAGAUGAGCCGACGUCGGAUUAGCUAGUUGGCGGGGAAGGCCACCAAGGCGACGAUCCGUAGCUGGUCUGAGAGGAUGAUCAGCCACACUGGAACUGAGACACGGUCCAGACUCCUACGGGAGGCAGCAGUGGGGAAUAUUGGACAAUGGGCGCAAGCCUGAUCCAGCCAUGCCGCGUGUGUG